rnacentral:rRNA from 1 species
UUAAGUUAUGAAGGGCAUAUAGUGGAUGCCUUGGCAUAUGAAGACGAUGAAGGACGUGGUAAGCUGCGAUAAGCUUCGGUGAGGUGCAAACAACCGUUUAACCGGAGAUUUCCGAAUGGGACAACCCAUUCUAAUUAAUAUUAGAAUACUGCUACUUGAAUAUAUAGAGUAGCAAGAGCUAACGCAGGGAAGUGAAACAUCUCAGUACCUGCAGGAAAAGAAAACAAUAGUGAUUUCCUUAGUAGCGGCGAGCGAAAAGGAAUGUAGCCUAAACCGAUACAGUGUCAUGUCUGCAACUUAGCUGUAUUGGGGUCGUGGGAUAUAAUUGGAAGAUUUAGCAGGAUCUUCGACAAGUCAAAAAAUACCUAAUUAGGAGAAUGAAUCAGGAAAGUUUCAGCCAUAGAAGGUGAUAGCCCUGUAUCCGAAAAUUAAGUAUCUUGUUGGAUUAUAUUCCCAAGUAGGACGGGACACGAGAAACCCCGUUCGAAUCUGCCGGGACCACCCGGUAAGGCUAAAUACUCUCAUAUGACCGAUAGUGGAAAGUACCGUGAGGGAAAGGUGAAAAGUACCCCGGGAGGGGAGUGAAAUAGAACCUGAAACUGUAUGUCUACAAGCUGUCGAACCUCGUAAGAGGAACGGCGUGCCUUUUGCAUAAUGAGCCAGCAAGUUACUCGUAUCUAGCAAGGUUAAAUUAAAAAAUAUGGAGCCGUAGGGAAACCGAGUCUGAAUAGGGCGUUUAGUUAGGUGCGGUAGACGCGAAACCGAGUGAUCUUACUAUGACCAGGUUGAAGCAUUAGUAAAAUAAUGUGGAGGACCGAACCCACUUGGGUUGAAAACCGAGGGGAUGAGUUGUGGUAAGGGGUGAAAGGCCAAUCAAACUCGGUGAUAUCUCGUUCUCUCCGAAAUGCAUCUAGGUGCAGCGUUGUGAUAUAGUAUCGUGGAGGUAGAGCACUGAAUGGGCUAGGGUUCUUAUUGAAUACCGAUCCCAAUCAAACUCCGAAUGCCAUUGAUAUGUUUUGCAGCAGUGAGGCAGUGGGUGAUAAGAUUCAUUGCCGAGAGGGAAACAACCCAGACCUACAGCUAAGGUCCCUAAAUUUUUACUAAGUGAUAAAGGAUGUGAAUUAGCACAGACAGCUAGGAGGUUGGCUUAGAAGCAGCCAUUCCUUUAAAGAAAGCGUAACAGCUCACUAGUCAAGGUGAUUCGCGCCGAUAAUAACCGGGACUCAAGUAAAAUACCGAAGCUUAGGAUUUCUAUUUAUAGAAGUGGUAGGAGAGCGUUCCAUCAACCGUCGAAGGUUGACCCGUGAGGGCAGCUGGAGGGAAUGGAAAUGAGGAUGCUGGCAUGAGUACACGAUAAAAUACGUGAAAUUCGUAUUCACCGAAAGCCCAAGGUUUCCUGAUCAACGUAAAUCGGAUCAGGGUUAGUCGGCCCCUAAGAUAAGACCGAAAGGUGUAGUCGAUGGGAAUCAGGCAAAUCAAAAUAUUCCUGAACCUCCGACCCUUAAACUAAGACACCCAUUUUCCAGACUUUACUAGCUUAUUGAUUUGUUAGUAAAGAGUAAGAAGUGGCAAGAAAAAGCUUAGUGUAUGCUAAGGAGACCGUACCGUAAACCGACACAGGUAGGCGAGAUGAAAAUUCUAAGGUGCUUGAGAUAAUUCUGGUUAAGGAACUCGGCAAAAUAGCCCCGUAACUUCGGGAGAAGGGGUGCCUCUCUUUUGAGAGGCCGCAGUGAAAUGAGGGUAGCGACUGUUUACUAAAAACAUAGGUCUAUGCUAACACGUAAGUGGAAAUAUAUGGACUGACACCUGCCCGGUGCUGGAAGGUUAAAUGAGCUUGUUAUUUUCUUCGGAAAAGAAGCUCGCGAAUGAAGCCCCAGUAAACGGCGGCCGUAACUAUAACGGUCCUAAGGUAGCGAAAUUCCUUGUCGGGUAAGUUCCGACCUGCACGAAUGGUGUAACGACUUCCCUACUGUCUCGACCAGAAACUCAGUGAAAUUGUAAUGUCGGUGAAGAUGCCGGCUAACCGUGGAAGGACGGAAAGACCCCGUGAACCUUUACUAUAGCUUGAUAUUGGUUUUUAAUUCUAUAUGUGUAGGAUAGGUGGGAGACUUUGAAGCGGGCACGCUAGUGUUCGUGGAGUCACCCUUGAAAUACCACCCUUAUAUUGUUGAAAAUCUAACCAUUAUAAACAGUUCCAUAACCACAAUCAAAGUCAUAUGGGUCAGAACCAUCAAUUACUGUCCAUGUAGCGCCUUCAUCAGUUGAAAUUUGAACAUUUGCCUGAUCCCAACCAUCUGUACAUGUACCUGCAACAGAUGCACCUGCAGGAUCUUCAAUUGUCCAGCGCAUAUCAGCAGACAUACUGCCUUCAGCUGGAACCGUAAAACUAGGAGUAUCUAAGUAUUGAACCCAGCUAUCAAGAUAUCCACCAACUUCUUCAUCUCCACACCACCAAUUGUUAUUACCAAUACUUAUAGGCAUAAAAUCUGAUGUGUGCCACGCUAAAGCUGUAGGAUCCAUAAGUGAUAUUCCAUAAUAAUCAGCUAAGUAUUGAGAUUCAUCAUCUGUAGUAGCAGGAUCAUCUUCCUGAAUAAAAUCAGGCAUGUCUGCAUAUAACCAAAAUUUAAAAUGCAUGAUUUCACCAU